rnacentral:rRNA from 1 species
GACGUAGGGCGCGAGCGUUGUCCGGAUUUAUUGGGCGUAAAGAGCUCGUAGGCGGCUCGUUGCGUCGGCUGUGAAAACCCGCAGCUCAACUGUGGGCUUGCAGCCGAUACGGGCGGGCUGGAGUUCGGUAGGGGAGGACUGGAAUUCCUGGUGUAGCGGUGAAAUGCGCAGAUAUCAGGAGGAACACCGGUGGCGAAAGGCGGCAUCCUGGACCGACAUUGACGCUGACGGAGCGAAAGCUAGGGGAGCAAACGGG